rnacentral:lncRNA from 1 species
GUGUAAAAUGUGUCCUGAUGAGUUUUUAUUAAGAAAUUCCUUUCAAAUUAUUUUUGGAAAUUAUUACACCAUAGAAUCCCUUGCCAAAUAUCCCAUAUUUAUUUGCUCAAUUACACACAUUUAUUUAAUUCUAAGCAGGAGUUUGCAAAAAUAAGAUUCAGUUAAUAUCUGCAGUGGAUGUGGUAGAGGCACCAGUGGAGAAACAGACAGUAAUGGGAGGAAUUCUAGGUGAUACUGACCUUUCCCCCAGGCUGAAACUGACAACACUCACCUGAUAUUUUACCAUCAGCUUUUCAGGUUCUUAUUUUUCACAUGAGUUUCCUCAGAAACUAUUAGAUAUAUAAUCAUCUCAAUUCUCAGUGGUCAAUUUUCAAUUUUAAAAUAUAAAUGGUGGGAGCAGUUUUUAGGUUGCACUUAGUUGAUUCAUGAGAUGAACAUUAACAAAUGUCCUUGAGAAUACACCUUCUGUCUCCUAUUUAUCCAAUCAAGCAACUCAUUAUCAUUCUAGUGACGUUUACAACUUUAGCAACAUUUCUGAUUUAUCAGAACUUUCCUCUUUGCUUACAUUUUUGCUAUCAUGUUAUAUCCCAACAAAUGCUUAAUUGUUAAUCAAAUUCAUUUUUAGAGCAUAGUGUUUUCAGUAUCAAACUGGAUGCUGCUGUCCAGGCCUGAAUAUCACCUACCAAAUUGAUGGAAAUAUGAUUUCAGGAGCCUGAUGACCGAAGAAAUAAUUUACAGUUGAUUUUACUAGACAGGAAGUAGUUCUGUGUUCCAUAAUCUACAGUGACACUAAAGUAGUCUCUAUUUAGCUACAAGGCCUUAUGCGUCAUUUUCUUAAUGGAUUUUGCAUUAUUCCCUUAAUAAGUAGACAAAGUUAGUCUAAAACAGACUAUGGGGUUGUAUCUGGAAUAUGUCUUAAGUCAGGGGCUCAAUUAAAAAACCAUUAUUGUUAGACAUUCAGUAGGCUUGAAUAUGAGGCUGGUUGACAAUACAAAAGCUUUUUUGUAUAAUUAUAUGAAAUUUUGCCUUUCUCUUUUUAAUCUCAUGAUUUUUUGAGAUUUUUGAUUUGUAUCAGAGUAAAAACAAAGGCAUGCCUUCUUCAACUCUGUAUCCUUCACAGUCUGUAGACAGAUCCCUGCCCCUGACAUGUCCUCAGUGAAUGUUUAUUAAAUUUGGUGGAAGUUGAGAUUCUGAAAUAAUUUAAACAGAAGAGCACAGAAGCUAUGUUUAAAACAUAUACUAUGAUCUGUCUCAGGUGAGGCAUCUUGUCAUUUAAGAAUACUUGGCUCUGGUGCAAAUCAACAUUGAAGUAAUUUGGUUGGCAUGCAAUACUCUCAUGUUCCUUGACUCAAGAGAACCUGAAAAUUGCCAGCACAGAGGAAGAUGUCAGCAUGAAGCAAGACUAUUGAGCAGGGAGCACACAUAUAUU